rnacentral:rRNA from 1 species
ACGCACGCUGGCGGCGUGCUUCACACAUGCCAGUCGCACGGAAAGGCCCUGCUUUUGUGGGGUGCUCGAGUGGCGAACGGGUGAGUAACACGUGAGUAACCUGCCCUUGACUUUGGGAUAACUUCAGGAAACUGGGGCUAAUACCGGAUAGGAGCUCCUGCUGCAUGGUGGGGGUUGGAAAGUUUCGGCGGUUGGGGAUGGACUCGCGGCUUAUCAGCUUGUUGGUGGGGUAGUGGCUUACCAAGGCUUUGACGGGUAGCCGGCCUGAGAGGGUGACCGGCCACAUUGGGACUGAGAUACGGCCCAGACUCCUACGGGAGGCAGCAGUGGGGAAUAUUGCACAAUGGGCGGAAGCCUGAUGCUGCAACGCCGCGUGCGGGAUGACGGCCUUCGGGUUGUAAACCGCUUUCGCCUGUGACGAAGCGUGAGUGACGGUAAUGGGUAAAGAAGCACCGGCUAACUACGUG